CGAACAAGAAAAACAUGGCGAAUAUGUGAAGAUAUGAAUUACGAAGAAAAUGGACGCUCAGACGCCCACUUUUCUCAGAAAGUUGUAAUUCCUCCAACUUCGUCAACUCCAUUUCCUCCUUUUUAAAAGCUUAUAAAGCAAGCAAUGAAAAGUCUCACUAUACAGUUUAUGGGAAGAACCAUUGAUAACAGUUCAUAUUUUAUUCAAAUUUUGUAAGUAAUUUKAUCAUAUUUCUACUCCAUCCCCUAUCGGCUGGGUAAAU